rnacentral:rRNA from 1 species
UACGGGGGGAGCAAGCGUUGUUCGGAUUUACUGGGCGUAAAGGGCGCGUAGGCGGCCACCGCAAGUCAGUUGUGAAAGCUCUGGGCUUAACCCAGAAAGGUCAACUGAUACUGCGGGGCUAGAGUGCAGAAGGGGCAACUGGAAUUCUCGGUGUAGCGGUGAAAUGCGUAGAUAUCGAGAGGAACACCUGCGGCGAAGGCGGUUGCUGGGCUGACACUGACGCUGAGGCGCGAAAGCGUGGGGAGCAAACAGG